UACGUAGGGCGCAAGCGUUGUCCGGAAUUAUUGGGCGUAAAGAGCGUGUAGGCGGCCAGGUAGGUCGGUUGUGAAAACUAGAGGCUCAACCUCUAGACGUCGACCGAAACCAUCUGGCUAGAGUCCGGAAGAGGAGAGUGGAAUUCCUGGUGUAGCGGUGAAAUGCGCAGAUAUCAGGAAGAACACCCGUGGCGAAGGCGGCUCUCUGGGACGGUACUGACGCUGAGACGCGAAAGCGUGGGGAGCGAACAGG
rnacentral:rRNA from 1 species